GAAGCGCCAGCAUGACGUCACGCGCGUCGAUAAGGAAAACCUAGUUAGAGCCGCUGUUUUACCGAAACAACUGAAUAGUGCCCAUUUUCCUUGUCAGUUCCACUUUUCACGAUAAAGUUCCAUUUAGAAUAGCACCAUGUCGGCAGGUGAUACUUUAGGAGCGGGAGGUCCAGGGGCUGGAGGAGACGAUGGUAUCGUGGGCGGUCCGAGAACGCCCCAACAAAUGGCAGCCGAAAAGAGGCUGAAACAGACCCAGGCGCAGGUCGAUGAGGUGGUCGACAUUAUGAAAACCAACGUGGAAAAGGUGCUGGAAAGGGAUCAGAAACUCUCUGAGCUGGACGACAGGGCUGAUGCCUUGCAGCAGGGCGCGUCACAGUUCGAACAGCAGGCGGGGAAACUUAAACGAAAAUUUUGGCUGCAGAACUUAAAGGCGAUGAUCAUAAUGGGCGUGAUUGGGUUGGUAAUUUUAAUCAUCAUUAUCAUGAAAUUUAUGCCCGAGGAGAAGGCGGCUCCGCCUGUUCCGGCCGUAUACGCCCCCAUUAGCCCAGUGGAGCCGGCGGUCGCUCCGGCCGAUACUAAAACCGCCCCGGUCAAGUCUUAAACGACUCUGAUGGGAUCGUCUAGUACGUUCAGAGGAUUCUUAUGGAAGGUUUAUUCGUUUCUUCGGCUUCACCUCCUGAUUGAUUUCCACUGACGCCCCAACAUGUAAUAUAGUGCAAUUAAGUAAUGACGAAAUAGCGUUUAACAUAUGUAAUGCAGUGUAUAUUUUAGAAAUAGCGUUCAGCAAAACUGCUUUUCUAUUCGAUUUUUAUGAAAAUCUGUUAAGUUUUAAGGCGGACGAACUUGUGUAUUACACAUCUAUAAUCUCAAUGUGAUGAAGUUUACAGUUCUUUUUCAAUAGAUAAGUGUCAUGACUAUGGGACUUUAGGUGGAUAUUCUUUCGAAAUUAGUCUCAGCAUUUCAUGUAUAUGGUUUAACAUAUUGAAAGUAUACAGAUUAAAGUGUA
rnacentral:misc_RNA from 1 species